AUGGGAGCAAUUUGAAAAUAAAUGAUAUCUAAAACAAAUUAAAGAUUACACCUAAAGUGUGUGAUAUUUUUUUUUAAGAUUUUAUUUUUUUCCCUUUUUCUCCCCAAAGCCCCCCAGUACAUAGUUGUAUAUUCUUCGUUGUGGGUCCUUCUAGUUGUGGCAUGUGGGACGCUGCCUCAGCAUGGUCUGACGAGCAGUGCCAUUUCCGCGCCCAGGAUUCGAACCAACGAAACACUGGGCCGCCUGCAGCGGAGCGCGUGAACUUAACCACUCGGCCACGGGGCCAGCCCAAGUGUGUGAUAUUUUAAGAAGUUUUUAGCCAACAUAUUCCAAACUGCCAAAUAAAUUAUACUUACACAUUAUUCUUAUUCACUUACUGAAUAAAAGUAUGUAAAACAUUAGACUCCACAACUUUAGAGACAUAAUAAAAUUGGAAGAAUCUGAAUAAAUACAUUUGUUUCUUUACCCGAUGGAUUAGCUUUAACCAUCUGUGAAAACAUCUAAAGAAAUUAGCACUCCUUCCCCAACCUUGGCCUAAGGCCAUCCUGAGCAGUUACUGACUUAAUCUACAUUAUUCAAGUCUCUGCAGACGUUCCCCAGAGAACCCACACACAAAAAGCAAGCGUUACACUUACUAACACACGACGGUGGCCUGGAGUCACGGUUGCCGCUGAGCCCUCAUGGAGUUGUUUAAAAUGUGAAGAGCAGGGAUGAGAGACGAAUCUUUGAAAAUAUUCAAGGACGCCUGCUCCGAAGAAUGCCUUUGUUCCUGUGACGACCGCAGCACAGCCGUCAGCUGUCCAAUCCGGUGAUGUUGUAAAACGGGGAGAUAAUAAGAGGUUUGAAUUACCCCACUUUGGCUUCAUGCCUUUAUAUUUGGACAACAGGAGACAGUGUCUUAUUCAUAAAAGCUUGUCAUAUAUGUGGUAACUAUUGCACCCAACACAGGCUGACUACACUUAACAGGUUUGGUGCGAAGUUCAGAGAGAGGACACAACUGCUAUGGUGCUCAAUUCUCUGCCAGGUGUUACCACGGCAACUGCACAACUUUAUCGCCUUUCAGUUUGCUAAUAAAGGGUCAUUACUCAUCCCUGAGAAUUUCCUUAAAUUCCUCUAAUAGAU
rnacentral:lncRNA from 1 species